rnacentral:ribozyme from 1 species
CGUCGUCGUGGCGACGUUAAACAGGUUCUUAAGCCACGAGCGUCACGAAUUUUCGUGGGUGAAU